CUGACAUAGGGAGGUAGUGACAAUAAAUAACAAUGCCGGGCCCAUCGGGUCUGGCACUUGGAAUGAGAACAAUUUAAAUCCCUUAUCGAAAUUCCAUUGGAGGGCAAGUCUGGUGCCAGCAGCCGCGGUAAUUCCAGCUCCAAUAGCGUAUAUUAAAGUUGUUGCAGUUAAAAAGCUCGUAGUUGGAUUUCUGGCUGGAGCGGCAGGUCGGGCCCGCGAGGGUCAUGUACUAUAGUCUGUCUCCGGCCAUCCUUGGGGAGAGCAUGACUGGCAUUCAGUUGUCGGUCUUGGGAUCCUCAUCUUUUACUGUGAAAAAAUUAGAGUGUUCAAAGCAGGCCUCGGCCUCUGAAUACAUUAGCAUGGAAUAAUAAGAUAGGACUUUGGUGGUCUAUUUUGUGGUUUGCACGCCAAAGUAAUGAUUAAUAGGGAUAGUUGGGGGUAUUCGUAUUCAAUUGUCA
rnacentral:rRNA from 1 species